AUUGAACGCUGGCGGCAGGCCUAACACAUGCAAGUCGAACGAGUGGCGGACGGGUGAGUAAUGUCUGGGAACCUGCCUGAUGGAGGGGUAUAACUACUGGAAACGGUAGCUACUACCGCAUAACACCGGAUGUGCCCAGAUUGGAUUAGCUAGUCGGUGGGGUAAAGGCUAACAUAGGCGACGAUCCCUAGCUGGUCUGAGAGGAUGACCAGCCACACUGGAACUGAGACACGGUCCAGACUCCUACGGGAGGCAGCAGUGGGGAAUAUUGCACAAUGGGCGCAAGCCUGAUGCAGCCAGGCCGCGUGUAUGAAGAAGGUCUUCGGGUUGUAAAGUACUUUCAGCGGGGAGGCGUUACCCGCAGAAGAAGCACCGGCUAACUCCGUGCCAGCAGCCGCGGUAAUAC
rnacentral:rRNA from 1 species